AAGAAAAUAGUGUACAUUGUUGAGAACGAUCUGUCCUUACUUGAAAAUGUUUUAAUCACUGUAAGCCAUGUUAGGUAUUCAAGCUGCAAAAUGCAAAACCUAGUUAAUAAGAUUCAGUGAACUGCUUUUAGUGAAAUUAGUUUUCUAAUUUUAAUUAAAAAUUGUGGUGUUUAAGUGGUAAAGCACAUCCAAAACAAGCAGGCAUACAGUCCAAGCUUCUGAGUCAGACUAGCAAUUGUAUUUGAUUUUUUUCAAUGGUCACAAUGCAGAACACUUAACAGAUACCUCAUAGAAAGCAGUGGGUUAACACAAGUCCCCUUGGUGCAGAUUUACCUAGAUGCAACAAAUAUCAACCUGUAAAUCUGGUUUAUCCACACUGUACUGCAGUUUCCUUGUAUAUUAUGUCACACAUUUAAUCAAUUUUAUUGUGCAUCAAAGAGAAUAGCACAAUGUAUUUAUUCAGGUAUUUAGCAGCAACUGGUGCCACUCAGGGCAGGUGAAGAAGUAAGCCUUAGGCACAGUGCCACAAUUAUAGCCUAUUUCUAGCACUAACAUGGGCAUCAGGUACUGCAGCCUUGCUUUGUGUACCAGGCAUUGCUGAUAGAUGAAUAUAAUGGAUUAUCUCCUUUAAAUUAAAACCCAUAUAAAUACUGCUAGAAAAUCAUCUGAUGGACAUAAGGAUUAUUUAUUUAUGGUCACAUAGAAGCCACACCUUUUAGUUUUGCUUAUCUUAAA